AACACAACAACUAAAAUUGUUAUCAAGCCACCCCUAGCCUGCAUAUAUUCUUUUCAAGCCACUCCUAAUUCCAAAUCCUAGUUCCGCUCCUGAUUAAGCCUUCAAGAAAUCCACAGACGAUGCUCUAUCUUUGUUAACACAAUAAGACGAGGACGUACGAGACACCACACCGAGGGAUAAAAACAGGGGACGGAGAAAGAGAGUGGUAGAAUUAUAGCCUAAUAGGGGAUCAACAGUCAUUAUAGAUGGAUAGAUAUGGGUUACUUCCAUCAAGUCACUAGUUGAAAGUCGAUGAGUUGACAUUUUUCAUCUUUGAUGUUGCGGAAAGUGGACUGUCAGCAGCUAUUACUCGGUGGAAUCCAUGUCAUUAUUACAAAAUUUGUAGUACUGAUUUUAGAUUUUUUUUUCUUCUUAAAAAUAGUAAAUGUAAAUGAUUGGUUGGAUUUUGAACGAAUGACUUAUCCUAGAAGAAAA